ensembl:lncRNA
CUUUAAGGCCGCUCUCACAUGAUGACGGUCUGUGGAGAAUCCUGAAGAAGAAGACUCCACACAAAAGAGCGCACUGUCUGCCGCAAAGGUCAGAGUUCACAACAAACGCACAACACUGGUUGGUUCUGCAGAAAAACUCUCUGGUGGUCCAAAAGCAGCAUCCACAGGUGAACUGAUGACGUCACAGAACCGCUCCUCAGGUGUCAAUGUGUGUGUCUAUGUGUGGUUGUGUUUGUUUGAGUGGUUGUGUGUGGUGUGCAUGUGGUCAUGUUGGCUAGGAUAGGCUCCAGCAUCAUCAGACAGAGAUCCCGUCAUUCCUGGUGAGGGGGAGCUGGGGGGGUCCGGGUCAGAUGCUCGUUUUUAACGUUGGUCGGAUCAGCUGAUCUUCAAUCAGUCGACCCCCACCAUAAUUUUCUAGAUGUAAAGCAGAAUUUGCUUUGCGUUUUAGGUGGGGGCUAUGUGUAUGUAUAGAUAUGUGCGGGGGUGGGGGUGGUUUCUAGUAAUUUCUGAGGAAAUUUAUAGCAAACGGAGGUGAGACUUCAAAACCGCUGCUUGGGGGCGGAGCUUAGCCGGAACGACGCCCCCCCGCUCCCGCUCCCUCUCACCUCCCGGUGUGGCGGCGGACGGGGGGAGGCCAGUCGCGGAGUUUCUAUCGAGAGGAGAAGUUUGGACAUGAACGCGUCCCGCGGGCUGACACAGGCUGAUCUCUGAGCCCCUCCCCGGCCGGUGGCACCAUGACGCUCCUCCGCUGCGCCCCGUGGAGCGCCCUGCUCCUCGCGGCUCUGCUGCAGAUCUGCCAAGCAGACUGUGAGCAAAAGUGUGAACCUCAGAAUUUAACAGAGUUGAUAAUAGUAACCACCAGCAUCAGUUUAAACCAUCCAGCCAACUGCACAUUAUCCACCGGUAACCAAACAAAAGAAGGAACACUGACUGAUCUGUUCCCUGGAACCGUCUAUGAAGUCAACUUUAAAUGUUUUAACUGCUGUGGAAAUAUCACAACCAAACCGGAUAAAGUCAGAAACCUCACUGUUACUGAAGUCACCACUGUCUCUAUGACUCUGAGCUGGAUGGAACCAUUGGGAAACAGUUCAUUCUAUGAAGUACAAUGGUCAGAUGGAUCAUCUACUCUAAAAGACAAUGUGACUGAUAAAAACAUGAUUAUAUCUAACCUGACUGCUGGUGUCCAGUAUGGCAUAAAUGUCACAGCUGUGGCUGCAGAUAAGCAAACUAAAGGAGAGAGUGUGUUUACCUCCAACUAUACAAAACCAGAUACAGUCAGUGACGUCACUGUUACUGAUUCCACCACGUCCUCUAUAUCUCUGAACUGGACCGAACCAUCAGGAAACAGCUCCCCUAAUACAGUAGAACAGUCAGAUGGACCAACUACUCUAAAUCCCGUUGUGACUGAUAAGAGCACCACUAUAUCUUACCAGACACUGGUGUCCAGAACACCACAAAGUGUCACAGACAUUCCAGCAGAUAAUCAAACUAAAGAAAAUAGUUUAACUACCAGUUAUACACGUAAGUAAAGAUGGAUAACAGUUAAACUUGCUGAGAUAUGUGUGCAAACAAUAACCUUAAAUUAGUCCUAUGCUAUUUGGAAACGAAAUUCAGGAUUAACAUUAAACAAAUGAG